AUGAAGGUUCAUAUAGCCUUGGGUUACACCUGUUCUCAUCUCGAACACAGAAGUUAAGCCUGGUUAGCCUUGGUGAGUACUGUUAUUUAACGGAAAAUCCUUGGUGACCUUCCAC
rnacentral:rRNA from 1 species